GGGAAAGGCACAGCCCAUCGGCCCAGGUGCUAUCAUUUUUUUUCUUUUUUUUUCUUCUGGUUUUAAUACCACUUUUUGCGAGAAGCAAUCACGUGGGAGGCCCCUUUAAGUUGCCAUUGACGGAGGCCCGAGCGUGUCACAUGGACAUGAUAUCAUGACCGGGCAGGAACACAGCGAGCGAGGGAGCGAGGCCACUUCUUCUUGGGCUCGGAGGUGAUGGUGGUGGUGGGGGGGACGCGCGGAGUCAUUUCACGAGGAUCCGGAACGCUAGACGCGUGGACUUGUCGGUUAUACAAUACACCUGUCAGCAGCUGUGACGCGCUUUAAAAGAAGGGGGAAAAAAAUGUCACGGAGGAAACAUCGCGGUCCCGGAGCAGCGCCGAUUGAGUAACUUGGCCUGUUCCAGUUGGGAGCCAACUUUCCCCGGUUUGCUAUUCACAGUGACCUCAUCAUCGCUCUGGCUCGCUUCCCUCUCGAACUUUCUUGGCUGUGAAACAUCUCAUCAACUCUUACAGGCACUGACAUCAACCUAUAAGAUGUCUGCGUAAAAACCGGAACCGACCAAUCGGUGGUCCUGCUAUGGGUUUUAGGUCCGAAGACAAAAUGCUGACUGAGAAAUUUUCAUGAUCGCUUGGACAAUAACUACAUAGACUUCAAAUCUUGCGCCUGACUGAUGUACAGAACUUUCGGAUUUGAUCCGCAUUCUGGUGACAAGAUCAGAAGUCUUAGAUCAGAUCCUAACCAUGGCCUAUGAUUGACAUUGGGUAAGCAUGCCUGUAACCAUGUCCUACAACGGAAGAAUAAAUUAUCUAAAGAGAAAGUGGCAUCAUGUGAGGCAUGAAUGUGGACCGCCUUUUACAUUGGAGUUAUUUUAGUUUGUUAUAUAAGGCCUGAUAACUUUAUACAAUGCAUGGCUUUAUUGAAUCUUUUUGUCUUUGUUUUGAUACAUUAGACCCAUUCUGGGUCUGCUCUCAAAAGGCGGAUUCGAUUCUUGCGCAGCCCGCAGGAUGGAGGGUGACUCGGCAGGCAGACUGGCCCGGCUCCAAGCUGCGCAAUAUAUAACAGGGGCGGCAGAAAAACAAGCCGACCCACUCGUGUUUGUGAUCCGAGAGUUCGUUUGACGGACGCUAGAGACGUCCGAUAGAGUCGGCAAAGAUCCAGAAUCACUUUCGAGUUGAAACGAUAUCUGGCGGGAAUGGAAACACUGCAGUGGGUGCUGUUCCUCUGCUGUCAAAGCCAAAAGGUAAGGAAAGCUGCGCUGAGUUUUGUUGUUCGCAGACUCAAUGCGACGCUCCAGGAAGUUGGAGAUGUUAAAGGUUGCGGCGUGGAUGCGGGGAUAAUAUUAGAGCAGGGACAGAUUGCUUCAGCGCCGGCGCUAAGUAGGCCAAAGGCACAGGGGGAGUGUCACAUGAAGCGGCGCUGCUAUGUUAGCUAUUCUCCAGUGUCUUGUUUAGCUCGAGAUGGGAAAAGCGACAGAGGAAGCGAGCGAGCGAGAAAUUAAAGAGAGAAGGCCUCGCGUGUGUCAUGUUUCCCAUGCCGUCUGGCGUCUGUACAUGACACUCAAAACCACUUGUCGACGAGAGGAAGUGUUUCUUUUCCUUGGCCCGGAGACGACGGCGACCUUUUUCCUUAAGUGCGUUAACUGGUGCAGAAGGUCAGCAAAAAGGGGGGUGUUGGAAGGGGGACUUCCUCGGUCGGUGUUUGUCGGAGGGCGUAGAAAGUUCAAAGUUGGGAAGGGGGUGGCGUUUAAGGUUUAUUUUUAUGGGCAGUGAUUGGAUGAAAACGACGUAGGUAUUGCGCAAAGUGACUGACUUGCCAUUAUGCAAAGACACAGAGUCAAGACUACAAUACUCCGACAAAUGUAGUCUGCUACCGGGUUGUCCCCGUUUGCUUUCGGAUUUACUUAAGCGUGUUUAUACAUCCGUUUCGGUGUCCGGCCUGCAUGGGAGAGUUUCUUUGGUCUAUCAUCUGUGUUUGUCCAGCACAUGGAGAAAGGAAAGGGAGGUAUGAGGAGGAGAGUCAGGUGACGCUCCAUAGCAUCGGUUUCCCCAGUGACCAGAAGCAAAUAGACCAGCCGGACCGGUUCUACCCUGUAGGAGGGCAUGGCAGAUGACACCGCAGUUCUUGUGGCUUUCCUUACUAGGAAUUUAGUGGUGUUGUGAUUGUGUAUUUUUUUUCUGUAAAACUUGUAUUUGUGGCUUUUUUCAAAGGAUCUUGUCCUGUCCGCUCUUGUGAAAGUACGAAAAGUCAUAAAUGUCAUUUAAAUGUGCUAUCAUAAUCAAAAUUAUUUUUUAGUAUAAUCAUUAUUUAUAUAGUAUACAAUACAUAAAAAAUGAAUGAAGUAUUUUUGUAACAAAAUAAAAACAAUCAAAUAAAAAUAGAGUGAUAAUGGAUGGAUGACAUAAUAUAUAAAUUAAUAUGAAUAGUUAUGCAUCUCAUUUUGUAUAUCAUAGAAAAUAAAUAAAACACAUGAAAGCCACAUUCAUAUUAUUAAAAUAUUCCAAUAUUGUGAAUCACUGCUUUUAAUAUUUAAAUUGAUUUAUUCGUACUGUAUUGCAACAGUUGACUGGGUUACAAUACAUAUUUACUCACAGUCAUUUAUACUGUUUUAUUGAUUAAUUAUGUUGUGUGUGUGUGUGAACAUGACAGGGGAAGGCGACCAGAUGUCUUUUUUUUUUUUUAAAUUUAAUACAAUUCUUGUCUUUUUCUCUGGCCCCAGUCCCGCCACCUCCCACCGCCUCACUUCUUCCUUGUUCCCACGGCAACUCAUGGCUGUUGGUUACAUAAUGCUUGCCCUGUCAGCCUCUGGGUGUGUGUGUAUGUGUGUCCUUUAAGUCGGUGCCCGGGCUUUGGGGAAUCAAAAUAUGCGACUUUUCAAGGUUUUAUUAGCCUGCGGGCUAAAGUGUUACUGAUAGCAUUAACACCGAUUGCAUAAAUACAUGCGUGUGUGUGUGUGUGUGUGUGUGUGUGUGUGUGUGUGUGCGUGCGUGUGUGUGUGUGUGAUCCAUUCAAGAAUUGCUGUUUCAUUCACAGUACACAGGACAACGGGAAUGGUUGAAUUUAAUAAUAUAUGCCUCUCGGCUGUGCAUGCUUGAUCUGCAUGCGUCCGGUUGCUAACUUAGCGUAGCAUAUAUUCUCGGCUUUCCAUAUGCAUGUACAUUUAACAUUGCUAUUGUUGUAUGAAUGGGGAUUAGUGUUUGAUUAAAUCGUGAACACAAACACACGCAGACCGCACCGCCACGGGCUCAGAUCCUCUCUAAUGGCAUUAGGCAGGGCACAGCAGGAGAGGGCCAAGCUACUGUUCACUUCAAUUAGAGCCCAUGUCAGGGGACGAGGCAUGCCACCCGGUCUGCUAGUCGCCAUUCAUGGCGAAGGGUAAAAAUUACUCGCAAUAUGUACUUGAGUAGGAGUAAAAAAAAAAAAAUUUUUUUAAAUUAGUGUAUUAGGACUGUUAUAAUAUUUUUAUUAUUAUUAAUAAUAAUAAAAAAAACAUCUCUGAAAUGAGCAACAAUAAAUGAGCUUAUGCUAACUAGAAAUUUUUUUUCAAGAAUUUUAGAAUGGAGAGUAAGUAGUUUGCUUUCGUGACAUUUCACCUCCUUUUAAUGAGGUAGACGGAAGUCAAGGUCUCAUUCGACUUUCAAGUAUUGUAAUGAUGUCAAAUGUUUUUAAUUUGCACCACUAAUAAGGAACAAAAUUGAUGAAUUGCGCAUUUUCUUUGCGCAUACGCAGAAAAAGCCUGCGUUGUAUUUGCAUAAAUGGAAGCGAGUGUGUGUGUGUGUGUGUGUCUUGUGUGUGUGUUGAGCACCUGCAGUGACUGAGCGCCUUUCUUUAGAAGCUCUCCAGUCCGCAGAGGCGGAGCCGCAACGUGCCGUAUCGAGGGCCAGGAGAGACAUUUUGUGCAAUUUUUUUCAAACUGAUCCCAAACAAUCCAAGCAGCACCUCACAUUUGGGCACUGAUUCCAGAGGCAGGAAGACAGAUUACAUAAGAGAGCGUGAAAAUCAAGAAGUAUGUAUCCGGCAUGCAAAUGUUGCCCGAGUAACUCUGCAUGGGUGGCUGCCAGACAAGAUGAGACAGAGCUUUGGACGCCAUAUGGGUGGAUGUCGUGUGUACAGAAACGGAAACGUGUUUGUGCUGCGGUUGUGGUUAACAUAACCCCAACUGAGUCGAGAAACACACAGGAGACGUAAUUCAUCUCAUUAGCUACCAAACAAUUAGCAUGUAUGCUAUAUUUGAUUUUUUUUACAUCUUGAACAAUGGGGAUUUUGAUGAAAUUAUAAAAUGUAAACGCAUAGUUAAUAUUUUUAUUUAUUUAUUUUUAAUAUAAAAUUUAUUUUCUAUUGUGCACGAUGUUGAUUGUAAUACAGUGGUGUCUCGAGUGACCAAUUUAUUUGACUAUUUAAAUGAAUUUUUUUGCAUUGACUCCCAAGCUAACUUUGCCUACUGCUAGCCUCAUGCUAAAGAUUAAAGCUUGCAUUCCUUUCAGUGCAUCAGCUGCUCCGUUGAGACUCGAUCGUCCACAAGUGUCCAGUCGUGCAAGUGCACAGCUGGGCCUUCAAAACACGAUACUUCCCGCUGUGAAAUCGUCGGACUGCCGGCGGGGUGUUCGCCGUUGAUUUACAGCCAGUCCAGAUUAAAAUUCGGGCCGCUGCAAUUGGCCGCCCGAUCUCUCCGAGGAGCGCGCGGCUUUCACUCUUCGGAACAUUUCGCAAUAAAUCUCAAUUUUAUCGCACUCGCAUUCGAAACCCCGAACUUGAAAAACUUCACGGCUUGAUCCCAGCCCUGAUUUCUUUCCACUUUUACGAGCCUGUAAAUGCCUUAGAUACCCCGUUUAAAAUAUGGAGCCUCGUGUAAAAUGUCAGCUUGGAAGUUUCACGUUUCGACAUGAAUUUUGACGAGGUCUCCUUCAUUAAAGAAGUGCAUAUCUGUGGUCAGAUGAUAAUCUUUUCACUUACUAUUUAUUUUAGUUUUUCCUACAGUUUUUUGGUUUACUGCUUCUUUAAUUAAAGUGUUUGAAUCAGAAAAAAAUCUAUUUAUAUUAAAGUGAGUAAUUUAGGAAGUGUUUCUUGUGAAAAUGGCUCAGGCACGUGUGUUAUGCGUCAGUAUUCGCGUGUGUGUGUGUGUGUGUGUGUGAGUAUUUCGCUUCUACAAAAAGCCUUGGGGAAGGAAGAUACUGUAUUGUGUAACCCGACACCCCCUCAGAUCAACUGCACACUUUACGACACUUACGAGACGUCGUGCAACUUCUGAACUCUGGCAUUCAUUCCAAAAAAGAAAAGUCCUCUUAUCUCCACAUGCUGACUGCUUACUCAGGCCCUUUUUUUAACUGAACUGCAAAACCUUUGAAAGUAAUCCCAAGGGGGACAUUUUUUUUAUUUGUGAAUAACUACACCAAAGUGCAGUGAGAUUUCUACUUCCGCUAACAAGACAUUGGACGGGGGGGGGUUGUUGUUGAGGGGGAGCUGCAAUAAUAAAAGUCAUUUUUCGCAGAGGAUAAAGACUAUAUGCCCGGGAGUGGUUAUGCUAUCCGUAUAUAUGCACAGCUCUGUUUGUGUUCAAAUCUUUGGUGCUUAAAGCGAUAUAUUGCCGCCGCUAUCCAUGCUAAUCGUUAGCUCAUCUAUGGCGUUUUUCUUCACUAGCAAUUAGCAUUAAGAUAUAUACAAGAAAAAAACCGACUCAAACUAAUCCACAAUCCGAGAACAUAACAUCUCCUUGACAAAGUGUCUCAUUGGUUGAAGGUCGUCUAAGUGACUGAGCGUGAAGCCGUCACGUAUAUUCCAUCUCAUUCAACAACUAAGUGCGAAUUUUUAUUGACGAGCAACCUUGCAUACGUAUAUGAAUGGCACGUACAUCGCGUUCCUGAGUGGCGUCAGACGGCAACCUCGAACGCUGCCAAAGAAUGUGCUUUCUGGCUUCGACCUGGCCCUCCGAGUAAUCCCAUACACACAUACACUCCCGUUCGAGAUGAUCCACGCAACACCGAUAAUGCUCUAUCGGUGGCCAAACUUUAAUUGUAUUUUCCUCCACUUUACCCUGAGGUUAGGGAAAAAGAUUUUCACGGUAUUUACAGUGGACCAAAGUCAAAGUCAAAGUCAGCUUUAUUGUCAAUCUCUCCACAUGUCACAACACACAAAGAGACCGAAAUUACGUUUUUCUCUAUCCCACGGUGACGAGACACAUAACACGAUAGACAUACAUGUACGCGACACAAUAUAAAAACAAGAAGGCAAAAAUUCUAACACCUACACGUCCUCUGUUCUCCAAUUGUGGGUUCCCCUAACUCAUUAUUCUCGGAAACCUCCGUUUAUUCACAGCAUUACGGUAAAAGUCAGGCGACUCCAUCGAUUGCCAGGAUGUGAGGCGAGUCCGGUGGCCUGUCUGGAGCACGUGUGGAUGUCGCCACAUGCUUAUUCAUGCUAAACAUUAUUUACGUAACGGAUGUAACCACCCCCUCUGCGGGACGGCGCGGCUCGCUGGGCUGUUGAUAACCGAGGGCGUCCAACAAUGAGAUGUCGUCCAUCUCGCAGGGACUUCUUAUGUAAGCGAAGUGCUCUCUCUCUCUCUCUCUCUCUCUCUCUCUCUCUCUCUCUCUCUCUCUCUCUCUCUCUCUCUCUCUCUCUCUCUCUCUCUCUCUCUCUCUCUCUCUCUCUCUCUCUCUCACGUUGGCUCACUCUCUCACGUUGGCUCACUCUCUAUACAGGCUUUGCUUGGAGGUUAGUGUACGAAGCUCAAAUUAGCAGGCCAGGCUGGAAUGACGCACUUCUGGAAUGGUCUGAAUGUGUGUGUGCGUCUGUCUAAUUUGAAUAAUAAACGAACCCUGCCAUAAUUCGGACGAAUCCAAGCAUCAAGGGAGCAUUGCGUAAUAAUGUGUGAGUGUUGACUGCGGUUCAAGCUUUAUUGUGCGUCGACCUUCCGAACCGAAUUGUUUACCUGGCUGUGGAACGAGAAAAAUGCGCAUGUGGGCGGGUAGCAUGAUCCUACCUGUUGUAAAAAAACAAAAGUGUGUUUGAUUGUGUGCGGCGCGUGUGCAUGUGUGUUAUGGCCACACCUUUUCACCGUGAACUUUGCCUUUUUACUUGGACUUCACAAAAUUGGAAGGACAGCUUAGUCUGUUUUGCUUGUGUGAAGAAGUUGCAUAUUUUAAACAUGAGGAAAAAUAGGACUGCAUACCACCAAACAAAGUACUUUCACCCGCCUCCAACGUUUCCAGCUGCCAGUAAGAUGGCGGCAAACUAGUUUUUACAUUAGCCAAGGCUAUGGGCGGAUAGUUAUACUAGCUUAGUUAUAGUUGGCACAAACCUGUCCACUAUUACGUGACUUUCAGAAGGUGAAGAAAAACAUGCAUUUCCCACUACGUAUGACACAUCCUGCAUCUCGGAAUUGUGGAGGGGAAAAAAAAAAAAAUCUAACCACAAGGGUAUCAGAUGACUAGGGUCAAAUAUGCGGUAAUGAGUUGAAGGGUCAUGCUGAGCAGAUGAACAGUGGGAUGUGACACGAAUAUAAUGGUGUUAUUUUUGAAGUAUGAUGAUGAAUAUGUGUGUGUGCGUGCAUGAAAAUUUCUUACGAGCAAGUCACUUCCUGUUGUUUUACCCAGUGAGUGAGAGUCAUGCUUCUUGAAAUGCCGCAUUUAAUGGCCUUGCGUAAGAUGAGUCAGCAUGCCAAACGCUCUUGGCCCAUACACACACAACUGCACAGUCUACAGUAUUUAUUUCAUUUCAUUUUGUUUAUUUAUAGUAGUGAUGAGGGAAAAUGAAGCUUCAAAUGUGCUUCAUGAACCCGCGGGUGUAUUUUUCCGUCCUAUAGAUGGCCCAACCACUUUCAAAAAAGAUUUUAAUCAUUGGCUUAUCUGUGUCACACGAUGCCCACCUUGUUUAUCUAUUUAUGUUCUGCCGAUCAAAACAAGCAUCUCAUUUCUCCAAAGCCACCGUACCAGCUGAUCCAAAAAAAAGUUCAGCUAUUUGCCAUGAAGUCUUUGCUUUGCUCAAAUGAAAGACGUGAUUUAUCUACUUCAGUUAGAGUUGCUAACAAAGGUGCGGUGUGAAUAUUACAAGACAGUUUACAAAAAUAUGCAAGAAAAGGCUCUACCAUGUGUUGACAUGCCGACGAUCCUACUUUUUAAGCGCUGAACUAAACACUAUAUUUUAAUCCCCCCCCGCCACCUCCCAAAUUGCAUUGUACUACAUCGCCAUGCAAUCCCCAUUACUUCUUUGUGGUCACCAAACAAUCACCAUCACGGCGCUGUCAGCAACUUGACUUUGGAGGACAGGAAGUAGUUGAACACGAGUGUGACCACAGAUCACCAUCUGUAAUUGGGAGACGGCACUAUAACGGUGGAUUUGCUUCCGCAUGUGACCCAUUUCCUCCCUGAAAUAACUCCCUGUUCCCAAAUUAAAAUUUUAGUUAAAUGUGUCAGCUCUUAAGUAUUGUCAUUCAUUUGAAUUGUUCCGGUUGCUAAAGUUGCAGGAUCAUCUCCCCACUAUUGGUGUGCUGCUGGAUUUGUAUCUCAAGGCCAGUGAAUGACUCUGCCCUUGACCUCGGAACUCCGUACGUGCGCGGUCAAGGAGAGUAAAUGUUUGUUGUGACACUCGUCUGCGAGACGCCAUCGCUUUUUCCCAUAUUGCCUUGCGGGUGUACAUCGAGGGGGAGCGUCGCUCGGGCCGACUGGCUCUUUGCCUCUGGUGUCACCAUGGAGACGUGGGGAGCUCUUAUUAUGAAGUUCCUCUCAUUCUGCUCCUAUUUACCAUUCAGUACAUUGAAGUGCUACGGUCUGCUUCAUUUGGAGUGGCGUGGUAGCUUUUUUUAGUUACAGGUUAGCUGUGGGGUGAGUCACAACUAGCAUUUUGUUAAUCUUAAAAAAGAAACGCUAGUAUUAUUUCCAAGCUAAAUAGUUCAUGCAAAUGUCGCCGAAGUCGUCUAUCGUCGGUGUGGGUGUGUGCUUCCUCCUCUUGACUCACAUUUUUUGGGCUUGAUUCAAGAGAGACACACCCACUUUGUUUUGUAAGACAGGACACACGCCAGAGUGAAAAGAGUGUGUAAGUCAGGUUAUGAGCUUGGCAAUUAAUUAGGUUUAACAAUGCAACAAUUUGGAUUUGGGGCGAAAAUGGAACCGGAGGAGACAUCCCCUAAACGCAUUUGAUUACGUAUUCGGUGAGUAAAAACGGCGCUAAUGUUUACAUGUGUCCGGGUUGUUUUUACGCUAUUGAAUUAUACAUGUGAAGAAGUUAACACCCCAGUUUUCCCGCCACAGGAGCCACUAGGCUCUUAGCCAAACCUUGCUGCCGUAAAGUAUUCCGCGUCACAGUCACUGAGGCAACGGUACACAGACGACACACGAGGUUGCGUGCGGGACGUGGGAAAGUUGGGGAUCGAGGCGAGUGCGGCGUUAAAAGUCUUCUGAUGACUCCUAGUGGACAGCCAUCAAGCCUUCUCACAAAAGUGAGUACGCUAUAUAUAAAAAAAAGUUUUGUCUUUUUAUGUGAUGAUAGGGAAGAAAUUGCGAUAAAAUAAAAGUCAUGGAAAUAUACUGUCUUGAAAGAGUGACGAAUUAAUGUACGUUUUCAGGUGCAAAUGUUAUUGCUCUCACAUUUUCAUACUGGUCACUAGUACUGCUAAACUAGGACACCACACCUUCCCGAGAAAUGAAAGGGAGAUACUGUGUGUUUGUUUAAGUCAGUCAUACCCACACAGGGAUUUUUGUUAUGCGCGUUGGGUGUAAAAUGAUUAGAUUGAAACUUGGACCAAAACACUGCUAUUGUCCUUCUAAGAAGCUAACAAGAAGGGAAAUCCCACUGGUAUGCCAUUCAGUUCCUGAAGGAUAUCUGAUGAACUCCAUCAAAUCCGGUCUAAAAUUUGAUACCUGACCUUUAAUAGAAAAUAAAAAAAAAGGUGCCGACAUAAGGCUGCUUUGAUAUCAUUUCCUGCUUGGUAAUAUCUCGUUUUAUUUUUGUGUUAGCAUUGAUGUGACUUUUGUGAUAGUCAAGAUAAAGAUUUUUAAGACUGUCUUAACUUUUCCUUAUUUUACAGCAUAUACAAACCAAAUGUUUUGGGCAGAACGAUUGGCCGAAGUAUCAAUUCAUGUCAAGGCAAAUUUGCGACUCAACAAGUGACUCACAGGUUGCACACGUGUUAGCGUUAAGUAGAGAGGGAUUGUGAAGAUCACCCCCUUCUCUGCCAUGACGCUGACCCUUCUUCACUCUUUACUCGUCUUUGCUUUGAAACAAAAAAAGGCCCGCAGCCGUUUGACGUCAAGAGGGCCGUUCACGAUUACUUUGUGGCCAGAGGUGGUUUUGUCAAGUCACAGACCGAUAAGAGAGAUUCCAACAAAUCCUCUUGACCGUCACUCGUCAUUGGAGACUCUAAAAAGGAAGUUGGGGAUUUUCAGGUUGGUAUUUUUUUGCGGCCUGUUUGUGUGUGUGUGUGUCAUUUUUAAUUAUGUAUGUUUUCUGAGUCACUCGUCUGUGGCCUUCAGAAGUAUGUCGGAUUGAAAACAAGUAGUGUAAUACAAAGUGGUCUCGGGGGGGGGAUGGUUAUUCGUGUGUGUGUGGGGGGGGGAGUUAUUGGCAGAGAACUAACUAAACACCCCAUUUUACUGUAAGCGGCUCACAAUUACACACACAGACACACACACAUUGACACAAUAUUUCCUAUUACACCCCUUUGUCCCUUUUUCCAAUUAGGUCCAUCAUCAACCUGACCCUUACGUAAUGUUCGGGUCAAUUUCAAACCAAAACACGAACGAUCCGGGAAGAAGGUGCGUCAAAACCGCCGCCGGACACAAUUGGUUUGUAUUGCUGUUAUGUCAAAGACUGUUGCACUUAAAUGGCCUGUGUUCACGCCCACGACGGCGCAAAGGGUUUUGUCUUUUCUUUGUUAUUGUUGCGAAAAUCGGGUUUGAACAACAUUGACAUUUUGAACACCAUACGAGAAAAAUAUAUUUUUUAAACUACUACAUUGUGGAUGAAAAUUAAGCUGAGCUAAUAGCUUACUUUCUUUUUCUUAUCUCUAAUUUUCACAUGUAUAAAGAACAUGAAUUUCUUGUUUCGUUAAAUGUGAUAUUUAUUCAUAUUUUCUUUUCCCCAGUUUUAACCGUAACUUUUCACCCACCCUGGAAUCGAAAUGGAUUCACCGCAUCACUUGAUGACCAUUUGUGAAGGGCUUUGGUGACACCUAAUGGCCACCCUCUGCAUUGAUACUGUACAUGGCGAUAUUAAAAAUGAUCAUCAUUUAGCAUUAACGAUUAGCAUAAAACGACGAAUGCUCUAUCAAGACAAAGACACCAGUAUGUUUGUUUUAAACACACACGUCUUCACUUUAGGUUGAGUUUGUCAGUCAACAGAGUGUGGCAGUAUUUGUUCCCUGUCCGCCCCCAGAAGCUGGUUUCACAUGGUGGUUUAGAUGUAUGUUGCCUCUAUCUAGCACCAUUUGAAAUCAGUGUUCUUGGGGACAGCAACACAGCUUCCCACCACGAGGUUGCAUCUGAGGUCAACGCUCAAACACUGGACAGCCUUUCCAUGUUUCUUAUUCUCCACUACCAGAUAACUGAUUUCCUAUGGUGCAUAGAGUCCCCGCCAGAGUCCUUCUAGCACCAUUUGAAAUCGGUUAUAAAACCGUGGAUCAAUGCAUCUGAGCGUGGAACGCAAGCUGGGAAGUCAACACAAGAAAUGGAUUUUUUUUUCUAAAUAAAAAACGGAAAUGAA